rnacentral:rRNA from 1 species
AGUGAACGCUGGCGGUAGGCCUAACACAUGCAAGUCGAACGGCAGCACAGUAAGAGCUUGCUCUUGCGGGUGGCGAGUGGCGGACGGGUGAGGAAUACAUCGGAAUCUACUUUUUCGUGGGGGAUAACGUAGGGAAACUUACGCUAAUACCGCAUACGACCUACGGGUGAAAGCAGGGGAUCUUCGGACCUUGCGCGAUUGAAUGAGCCGAUGUCGGAUUAGCUAGUUGGCGGGGUAAAGGCCCACCAAGGCGACGAUCCGUAGCUGGUCUGAGAGGAUGAUCAGCCACACUGGAACUGAGACACGGUCCAGACUCCUACGGGAGGCAGCAGUGGGGAAUAUUGGACAAUGGGCGCAAGCCUGAUCCAGCCAUACCGCGUGGGUGAAGAAGGCCUUCGGGUUGUAAGGCCCUUUUGUUGGGAAAGAAAAGCAGCAGGUUAAUACCCCGCUGUUCUGACGGUACCCAAAGAAUAAGCACCGGCUAACUUCGUG